AAAAUAAUCAGCACCUCUCCCCCCCUCUCUCUCUCUCUAUUUUCAGCGUUGCUCCUCUCCCCUCCCUCUCUCACUGCUGCUCUUCCUCGCCUUCGCCGGAAACCAGAGCACCUCCUCCUCCUCCGCCAUCGCCAUCGUCAUCGUGAGUACCGCCUCUUUUCACGCCGCCUCCUCUUCCGCCGAUCUUCAUAGAUCCACCGCCACCACCACCACCACGAGAUCCAGAGGCUUCAUCGCUGAGAUGAACUCUACUCCAUUGAUGCUCCGUCUCGCCUUCAUGGGAAGGAAGUAGUUGUUGAGUGCAAAUUUGAUGGUGACCGCAUUCAAAUCCAUAAAAAUGGGAAAGAUAUACACUUCUUCUCAAGGAACUUUCUUGACCAUCCUGAAUAUGCGCAUUCCAUGUUGGAUGUUAUCAUGCAAAAUAUUCUUGUUGACAGUGGAGACACUGAUGCAGUGGUUCCUGUGACUGCAACUCGAUACUCCAUUGAUGCCUUGAAGCUUCCAACUAUUACCAACUAUUACAAAGUUAGACAAAGUUUUAUUGGGAAUUCUAUUGGUUGGGGAAGUGUCCUUCUCCUUCUUACCAACUGAAGCAAGAAUAGCAAGAUCAUGAGACGAAGUACAUAAUGGUCCUAUAUGUGUAUUGCCUUUCUGUGUCUCCCAGUACAUAUCAUUCUUCCUAUGUUAGUACAAAGAGCCAAAAAGGCCAUCCAUGGAUCUUGCUCUACACUGACUGCACAUUAAGGACGCUAUCUAUAAAGUCGAAAUGAAAGAGCCGGUCACCACCACCACCUUCCCAGCUACUAGCCACAACUAGACUGGAGGAGCAGAAUGACCGUAGGACAGCCUAUGAUUCUUUUGGUGAGACUACCGAUCCAACGUCGCUGCCUGGAAGUUUGAGUCGCAAGACUAAAGAGCAAGACGACUCUGGUGCCAGGACAACAUCUUGUACUUAUGGAAGGACUGAAGAGCAACCUUCCCUCCAUAUUGUCCUCAAUAAAAGUAAGAGAACAAUAUCGAAGGGUUUUAUGGAAGGACUCGAACAAUGGGAGCUUAUAGUGAUGCCAGGACGACAUCUUGUACUUAUUAGUACUUAUUUUUGGAUGGUUGGAACUAAAAUGUGUAAUGGGAGUAGUUAGUUUUUCCUGUAUUAUGUAUGAAAUUAAAUUAUUGACGUUGGAUUACACUUGGUUCUUAUGGAAUUUGUAAUAAAUAUAUAAUUGGACGUUCAAUAUUAA